rnacentral:rRNA from 1 species
GAUGAACGCUGGCGGCGUGCCUAACACAUGCAAGUCGAACGGACUUAGCGAAGUGCUUGCGCUUUGCGAAAGUUAGUGGCGGACGGGUGAGUAACACGUAGGCAACCUGCCUCUUACACUGGGAUACCUUCGGGAAACUGAAGUUAAUACCGGAUAAGCUUACAGUACGGCAUCGUACAGUGAGAAAAGAUUUAUCGGUAAGAGAUGGGCCUGCGCAAGAUUAGCUAGUUGGUGGGGUAAAGGCCUACCAAGGCUACGAUCUUUAGCCGACCUGAGAGGGUGAUCGGCCACAUUGGGACUGAGACACGGCCCAAACUCCUACGGGAGGCAGCAGUGAGGAAUAUUGCACAAUGGGGGCAACCCUGAUGCAGCAACGCCGCGUGAGUGAAGAAGGUUUUCGGAUCGUAAAGCUCUUUAGUGUGGGAAAAAUUUUGAUGGUACCACAAGAAUAAGCACCGGCUAACUACGUGCCAGCAGCCGCGGUAAUACGUAGGGUGCAAGCGUUAUCCGGAUUUACUGGGUGUAAAGCGAGAGUAGGCGGUUUAUUAAGCCAUGUGUGAAAGCCCGAGGCUCAACCUCGGUUAGCACAAGGAACUGGUAAACUAGAGUAUUGGAGAGGUAAGUGGAAUUCCUAGUGUAGCGGUGAAAUGCGUAGAUAUUAGGAGGAACACCAGUGGCGAAGGCGACUUACUGGACAAUUACUGACGCUGAGUCUCGAAAGCGUGGGGAGCAAACAGGAUUAGAUACCCUGGUAGUCCACGCCGUAAACGAUGAGUACUAGGUGUUGGGGGGAGACCCUCGGUGCCGCAGCUAACGCAUUAAGUACUCCACCUGGGAAGUACGCUCGCAAGAGUGAAACUCAAAGGAAUUGACGGGAGCCCGCACAAGCGGUGGAGCAUGUGGUUUAAUUCGACGCAACGCGAAGAACCUUACCAAGUCUUGACAUCCCUAUGACAGCUCUAGAGAUAGAGUCUUCUUCGGACAUAGGUGACAGGUGGUGCAUGGUUGUCGUCAGCUCGUGUCGUGAGAUGUUGGGUUAAGUCCCGCAACGAGCGCAACCCUUGUCGUUAGUAGCCAGCACUUCGGGUGGGCACACUAGCGAGACUGCCGUGGAUAACACGGAGGAAGGUGGGGAUGACGUCAAAUCAUCAUGCCCCUUAUGAUUUGGGCUACACACGUGCUACAAUGGCAACUACAAAGUGAUGCGACGCCGUGAGGCCAAGCCAACCACAAAAAAGUUGUCACAGUUCGGAUUGUAGUCUGCAACUCGACUACAUGAAGCUGGAAUCGCUAGUAAUCGCGGAUCAGCAUGCCGCGGUGAAUACGUUCUCGGGC